UUCAUAGUUCUCCUCCCAGCCUUGGCUUGUUCCAUCAAACUCUGAAGUGAGUCGCCCCUCCUCUAAUAUUUCAAUUUAAGCCCGACUGGAUUGCAGCAGUGUCACAUCCCAUUUACACUGUGGACUUUGUGGGAGACAGGGAUCAUUACGUAGCGAACAUUGAGAAAGAACACAUUACACCCCGUUCAUAACCAGAAAGGUAACUAAAGGGAUGGAGCGGCCCGGAGAGGAGAGCGCGCCGUCCACGUAAGGCAACGGGAGAAUAGGAUUUCACAGCAAAAUGUAUGAAGCUGUCAAUACAUGUUUCACAUGAAAUUUGGCAACUUUCGCAUUUAUCAAGUCUCUUCAUUUUACCUCGGCCUUCAGAAUUCUUCCACUUGGGUAACUGCUUUGGGCUAGAAGUAUAUUUUUGAAGACAUUUCACAACAUUCUAAUAUGAUCCUGCUCAGCAAGAUCCUUGCUCAUCAGCUCAUGCUCCUGACAUAUUCAGAAGUCUGAAAUGUUUGAAGGAACAAAACUGGCCUUUUGGAAAAAGCCAACUCAGUCCUGGAUGCUGAGCCUGUCAUCUGCUGAAGGACACAUCUUCAGGAAGGUCAUAGACUGAGGCAUUAGAGAGAUUUGUCAUUCUGUAUAGUGGUCCCUAAUUUUCCCCUUUAGUCACCAGUCUCAGCUGCAUAUUAGAUGGCUUCCCCCUUUAAACUGUUAAGUGGUGCUGUUGCAGGUUUUAUCGGCCAGUCGCCAGUAGGCUCAGGGGAGAAGCGCUAUCUCCUAUGGCCCUGAAAAUUGAUAUUGAACAUGGGAGGAAAAAUCUCACAAGCUGAUAGCAAUUAGCUAAAAAGGAUUUGCGACUCCAUGAUUCAUCACACUAGGGGAUCAAAGUCAUUUACAGGCAGUGUUUCCCUAGUCCCUGCAUGCUGCACUAAAGAUAUACCUCUGUUUAUCUCUCACACUGCAGUGUGACAUUUCCUUUUUUUCAAGAGCCCAUUUUCUUAGAAGCAGCUGCCAUGGGCUGCUGUGAGUCAGUGUCACCCAGCCGAUUCUUUCCCUUCAGACUGACUAAAUGACUCCAGUAUUCCAGUGGUAUUCCAGUGAGUUGAGAUUUGAGGUAGGGUUUCUCAUUUGCAUAAGUGAAAGAACAGGUCAUCACUUCAUUUAAAAAAGUAAUUCUGUGCCUAAUAAGACAACACAUUUGUGACUGACUGUAGUUGUUUCUGAACUGCAUCUAGACCUUCCACUGGUCAAAUGAUUGUCAGAGAAAUAAAGCUGAUUACAGAUAUUUGACUAAAAAACAAACAUAAAUUGAUUACUAAUAAUGUUGAGGCAGUGUCAUAGAGUGGACAGCAAGUUAAUUUUGACAUUAAAAAAAAUGAAUUCAUAUAAUGUCUCUAUAAAUGUGGGCUGUAUAGCCAAAGACAAAGACAAAUCAUAACUUCUUAUUGCCCCAAGUGUCUUGAUAAUAAAACUUUAAAAUAUAGAAGAGCUUCUGAUUUGUAUGUGAUUUUUCCUCAAGGAAUUCCUGGUAUCAUUGUAUGGAGACUGUUUGGGAGGA